rnacentral:rRNA from 1 species
GACGAACGCUGGCGGCGUGCUUAACACAUGCAAGUCGAACGCUGAAGCCUAGCUUGCUGGGUGGAUGAGUGGCGAACGGGUGAGUAACACGUGAGUAACCUGCCCUCUUCUUUGGGAUAACGCCCGGAAACGGGUGCUAAUACUGGAUAUUCACUGAUCCUCGCAUGGGGGUUGGUGGAAAGGUUUUUUCUGGUGGGGGAUGGGCUCGCGGCCUAUCAGCUUGUUGGUGGGGUGAUGGCCUACCAAGGCUUUGACGGGUAGCCGGCCUGAGAGGGUGACCGGUCACAUUGGGACUGAGAUACGGCCCAGACUCCUACGGGAGGCAGCAGUGGGGAAUAUUGCACAAUGGGCGAAAGCCUGAUGCAGCGACGCCGCGUGAGGGAUGGAGGCCUUCGGGUUGUAAACCUCUUUCGCUCAUGGUCAAGCCGCAGCUUUGGGUUGUGGUGAGGGUAGUGGGUAAAGAAGCGCCGGCUAACUACGUGCCAGCAGCCGCGGUAAUACGUAGGGCGCGAGCGUUGUCCGGAAUUAUUGGGCGUAAAGGGCUUGUAGGCGGUUGGUCGCGUCUGCCGUGAAAUCCUCUGGCUUAACUGGGGGCGUGCGGUGGGUACGGGCUGACUUGAGUGCGGUAGGGGAGACUGGAACUCCUGGUGUAGCGGUGGAAUGCGCAGAUAUCAGGAAGAACACCGGUGGCGAAGGCGGGUCUCUGGGCCGUUACUGACGCUGAGGAGCGAAAGCGUGGGGAGCGAACAGG